rnacentral:piRNA from 1 species
UGGCCUGCGAGAUCCUGCGAGGUGUUC